GAUGAACGCUAGCGAUAGGCUUAACACAUGCAAGUCGAGGGGCAGCACAAGGUAGCUUGCUAUCUGGGUGGCGACCGGCGCACGGGUGCGUAACGCGUAUGCAACUUGCCCUAUACAGGAGGAUAACCCGUCGAAAGACGGACUAAUACUGCGUAUGCUCACAACUUGGCAUCAAGUGGUGAGGAAAGAAAUUCGGUAUAGGAUAGGCAUGCGUCCCAUUAGCUUGUUGGUGAGGUAACGGCUCACCAAGGCAACGAUGGGUAGGGGAACUGAGAGGUUUAUCCCCCACACUGGUACUGAGACACGGACCAGACUCCUACGGGAGGCAGCAGUGAGGAAUAUUGGUCAAUGGGCGCGAGCCUGAACCAGCCAAGUCGCGUGAAGGAGGACUGUCUUAUGGAUUGUAAACUUCUUUUAUACGGGAAUAACAAGAGUCACGGGUGACUCCCUGCAUGUACCGGAUGAAUAAGCAUCGGCUAACUCCGUG
rnacentral:rRNA from 1 species